rnacentral:rRNA from 1 species
UACGUAGGGGGCAAGCGUUGUCCGGAUUUAUUGGGCGUAAAGAGCGUGUAGGCGGUUUGGUAGGUCCGUUGUGAAAACUCGAGGCUCAACCUCGAGACGCCGAUGGAAACCAUCAGACUAGAGUCCGGAAGAGGAGAGUGGAAUUCCUGGUGUAGCGGUGGAAUGCGCAGAUAUCAGGAGGAACACCGGUGGCGAAGGCGGGUCUCUGGGCAGUAACUGACGUGAGGCAGCGAAAGCGUGGGGAGCGAACAGG